CGGCCCCUCGCCCCGGGCUGGGACAGCUGGGGGGGGCGCAACAUGGCGGAGGCCAAGGAGGAGGGGCCCGGCCCCCGCAGCAGGUUUGAAGAUAAAUCUGAUGCGGUAUUUGAUAUUACAGAAAAAUGUGGUGAAAUUCUGGAUGCAGAGAUGUCUGAGGAUGCUGACCACAACUUAACACCCGCCCUUGAGAGUUUGUCUUACGGAGUACCGAAUCGAGCAGGACCUGAAAAUUCACUGCAGGGUGAUGAUCAUGAUUAUUUUCUGAACUCUGGGGAUCUUGCAGGCAUACCUGUUGUUGGGAGUGACAACGAAGAUGAUCAGAAUUUCACUCCAAAAGACACUCUUUCUUCAGCAAUUCGUGAUGAAGAUCAUCUGGAAGAGGGCAAGAGAGUUCCAGAUCACAAACUGGACAGUGAGAAAGAAAUUCAGGUUCAGAAUGCAAUCCAGAAGGAUCUCACUUCUCCCUUUGAACAGGGCCCUGUGUUUAAAUCACUUCAAAAAGAUUUUAGCAUAACACGAGAUAAUGGCAAAGAGACUUUUUCAGCAAAGGACAAGAAUAGAGAAGGACAUUUUCAAGAAUGUGAAAAACAGUUGGAAAAAAUCCCUAAAGAUGUGGAUUCUAGGUUGAAAAGUGGUUUUCUUGACAAUACAGUUCAUAAUCAAGUAGAAGAAACAUUACGGACGCAGUUAGCGCCACAAACUCCAGAAACUAACUUCAGGGAGUCUAGCUACCUAUUUUCUAGUAAGGAAUCUAUUGGACAAGAGCUGGGGAAUUCCUUUGCACCAAAUAUUAGAAUUAAGAAGGAGCCUUUGGAUGACGAAUAUGCUAAAGCUAUGGCCCCACAGCAGGGACUAUUAGACAAAAUUAAAGAUGAACCUGGUAAUUCUGAGGAGUACGGCCAACAACCAAAAUCUCAGGAAGGGGAGCUGAAAAUCAGUGCUGUUUUUUCAGUCAGUGGCAAUCCUUUUGUUCCACAGCUGUCAUCAGGUUUCCAGCCUGCUGUGGCAUCCUCUGGCAUGAGUAAAAUGCUACCCUCAGUUCCAAACACAGCUGUUCGGGUUUCCUGUUCUGGCUGUAAAAAAAUCCUGCAGAGGGGGCAAACUGCCUACCAGAGGAAAGGCUCAACCCAGCUCUUCUGCUCCACACUGUGCCUCACUGGAUAUACCAUUCCAGCUUCUCGCCCACCAGCUUCCACCAAGAAAACCUGCUCAAGCUGCUCAAAAGAAAUUCUAAAUCCAAAGGAUGUAAUCACUGCCCAGUUUGACAACACAGGCUCCAGUAAGGAUUUCUGCAGCCAGUCUUGUUUGUCCACAUAUGAACUGAAGAGGAAACCCAUUGUCACUAUCCACACCAACAGCAUUUCCAGCAAGUGCAGCAUGUGCCAGAAGAAUGCAGUGAUCAGGCAUGAGGUGAAUUACCAGAACGUGGUGCACAAGCUCUGCAGCGAUGCCUGUUUCUCCCAGUUCCGAUCAGCCAACAACCUGACCAUGAACUGCUGUGAAUAUUGUGGAGGAUACUGCUACAGUGGCUCUGGCCAGUGUCACGUCAUGCAGAUAGAGGGACAGUCCAAAAAGUUCUGCAGUUCUGUAUGUGUGACAGCUUACAAGCAGAAGUCAGCUAAAAUUACACCCUGCACACUGUGUAAAUCUCUGAGAUCUUCAGCUGAGAUGGUGGAGAGCACAAAUAACUUGGGGAAGACAGAACUGUUUUGUUCUGUUAACUGUUUGUCAGCAUACAGAGUAAAAAUGGUCACUUCUUCAGGUGUUCAAGUUCAGUGCAACAGCUGUAAAACCUCAGCAAACCCUCAGUAUCACUUGGCUAUGUCAGAUGGGAGCAUACGCAAUUUUUGCAGCUACAAUUGUGUAGUAGCUUUUCAGAAUCUGUUCAACAAACCUGCAGGACUGAACUCCUCAGUGGUGCCCCUGUCUCAGGGCCAGGUCACUGUGAGCAUCUCCUCGGGGACAGUGGUCUCAGCCACUGGCACCACCUCAACUGUGUCCCCCAGCUCCACAAGCACCUCAGCUGCAGCAGGGCUCCAAAAGUUGGCUGCCCAGUGCCAGCAGGUCACCUUUACCCGCUCGGUUGUGAAAAUCAAGUGUCAGCACUGUAACAGAUCGUUUGCCACCAAACCAGAACUGCUUGACUACAAGGGUAAAAUGUUCCAGUUCUGUGGGAAGACCUGUUGUGAUGAGUAUAAGAAGAAGGGCAAUAUGACAGCUUUGUGUGAAUACUGCAGGUUUGAGAAAAUUAUCAAGGAGACAGUGAGAUUCUCAGGCAUAGAUAGAACAUUCUGUAGUGAAGUUUGUAAACUGCUCUAUAAACACGACUUGUCUAAGCGCUGGGGAACCCACUGUAAAAUGUGCAGUUACUGUUUACAAACUUCCCCCAAACUGGUCCAGAAUCAUUUUGGGGAUAAAAGGGAGGAAUUUUGCUCAGAGGAGUGCAUGUCUAAAUUCACAGUUUUGUUUUACCAGAUGGCAAAGUGUGAUGGUUGUAAGAGACAAGGUAAACUCAACGAGUCCAUCAAAUGGCAAGGGGAGAUGAAACAUUUUUGCAAUCUGCUUUGUAUUCUGUUGUUUUGUAAACAGCAAGGUGCUUCUGACACUCCACUCCCAAACAACACAGCAAACCUUUCCAUGGCACCAGCCUCCUCCUCAGGCCCUCCUUCUUUAAGAAAGGACUCAACCCCUGUCAUAGCAAACGUGGUGUCCCUUGCAAGCACCCCAGCUGCCCAGCCUACUGUUAACUCCAACAAUGUUUUACAGGGUGCAGUCCCUACUGUGACAGCAAAAACAAUAGGAGAUGCAAGUACCCAGACAGAUGCCCUAAAGCUCCCAUCAUCAAAACCACCCAGGCUUCUGAAAAACAAAGCUUUAUUGUGUAAGCCAAUCACCCAGACGAAGGCCACCUCCUGCAAACCUCACACACAAAACAAAGAAUGCCAGACAGAAGAAGAAGUACCUGCUCAGCCCCAGAUCAUUGUGGUACCUGUUCCUGUACCAGUGUUUGUGCCAGUGCCCCUCCACCUCUACACCCAGUACACACCAGUUCCCCUAGGGAUGCCAGUACCUGUACCAGUUCCUGUGCUCAUCCCAACUACCCCAGAUAAUGCUGAUAAGAUCACUGAAAAUAUUCAGGAAAACAAGGAAAAGGUUUCCAUUAAUCCAUUUGAAGCUGAUCUCCUUCAGAUGGCAGAAAUGAUUGCAGAAGAUGCAGAGAGAGAAAAAACACACUCUCAUGGUGGAUCUCAAACAUCCGAGCACGAGCUCUUCCUGGACCCCAAGAUAUUUGAGAAAGACCAGGGCAGCACGUACAGCGGAGAUCUGGAAUCAGAAGCAGUGUCCACUCCACACAGCUGGGAGGAGGAGUUGAAUUACUACACCUUACGAUCCAAUGCCCUGCCAGAACCUGAUCCAGAACUCAAGCAGUUCUCCAAAGGUGAUGUGGAACAGGAUCUGGAGGCAGAUUUCCCAUCAGACUCAUUUGACCCUCUCAGUAAAGGACCAGCUUUACAUUCACGUUCACGGGCAAGACGGAGACACAGGGAUGGCUUCCCUCAGCCAAAAAGACGGGGACGGAAGAAGUCUGUAGUUGCUGUGGAGCCCCGGAAUUUGAUGCAGGGCUCCUACCCUGGCUGCUCUGUUUCUGGGAUGACCCUAAAGUACAUGUAUGGGGUAAAUGCCUGGAAAAACUGGGUCCAAUGGAAAAAUGCACAGGAGGAACAAGGGGACCUGAAGUUUUCAGUUCAUCCUGUGAAGCUCAAGGAGGACAUUCUCUCAUGCACAUUUGCUGAGCUGAGUUUUGGUUUGUGCCAGUUUAUUCAAGAGGUGCGGAGACCAAACGGAGAAAAAUAUGACCCUGACAGCAUCUUAUACUUGUGCCUUGGAAUUCAGCAGUACCUGUUUGAAAAUGGUAGAAUAGAUAACAUUUUCACCGAGCCCUAUUCCAGGUUUAUGAUUGAACUUACAAAACUUUUGAAAAUCUGGGAACCUACAAUUCUUCCAAAUGGUUAUAUGUUCUCAAGAAUUGAAGAGGAACACUUGUGGGAAUGUAAGCAGCUGGGUGCAUAUUCCCCCAUCGUUUUGUUGAACACCCUUCUGUUCUUCAACACCAAAUACUUCCAACUAAAGAAUGUCAGUGAGCACAUGAAACUGUCCUUUGCCCAUGUCAUGAGGCGCACCCGAACUCUGAAGUAUAAUACUAAGAUGACAUAUUUACGUUUUUUCCCACCCUUUCAAAAACAAGAGGUAGAAUCAGAUAAAUUAUCAGUAGGCAAAAGGAAACGCAGUGAAGAUGAGGAGGUUCCAACAGCAGUGGAAAUGGCUGAAAACACAGAUAAUCCCCUCCGGUGUCCAGUCCGACUUUAUGAAUUUUACUUAUCAAAAUGUUCUGAAAGCGUGAAGCAGAGGAGUGAUGUGUUCUACCUGCAGCCUGAGCGCUCCUGUGUUCCCAACAGCCCCAUGUGGUAUUCCACAUUGCCAAUAGACCCAGGAACCUUGGACAUCAUGUUAACACGGAUUCUUAUGGUGAGGGAGGUACACGAAGAACUUGCCAAAGUCAAAUCAGAGGACUCUGAUAUUGAGUUAUCAGACUAACUGCAGUGGGGUAUUUUUCUUUGAAUACACAUCAGAAGCACCAAAAUGUGAAUACGUCCAGCCUUUGGAAAAUGUGUAUCAGAUAAGCCAAGAUGAUGUCACCUACAGGCAGAUUUUGUACCACAUUGGAUGUACAAACUGGAACUGGAAGGAAGCAAGCUGUGUAAGCUGCAACUCCCAACGUCCUGUAGCACCGAUCAAUCCUCAGAACAAAUCCAAGUGGAACUCACCUACUGGAUUGGUGCAUAAAUCCUUUAUCUGUUUAGGAUUUUUAAAAGUUGUGAGAUAUUUUUAAGAAAAAUGCUUGUGUAAAACCUACCCUCACACUGUUGGGCAUGGAGAGCUAGACUGUGGCUCAGGUGACUUCCCAGCCUGCUGGCUGGCAGCCCUUGCUGCCAAGGAACACGUGAAGAUCCUCGAGCUCUUCCAGAGGAUACAAGAGAAAGGGAAAAAUCAUGCUGUGUCCUGCUGAAUCCCAGAGUUAACUGGGCUGGAAAAGACCUUUGAGAUCAUCGAGUCCACCGUGAGGCCCUGACACCAGCUUGUCAACCAGACCAUGGCACUGAGUGCCACAUCCAAUCUUUUCUUAAACUGUAGUUUGUGUGGACAGAGAAGCAAUAAAGAUGGGUGUGAGAAAAACAGAAAACUUCCUGCCACCAGAGUGGCAGCAGCUCCCAGUGCAGGGGGUGCUCAGCGCAAACCUGCUGCUCCAUCCUGGCUUCAGUUCACUGAACAAGGGAACUUGGGGCAUGUUGAAAGCCACAAAACUAGGUGCAAAAGGAAGUUAUAUUACCUUGGGAAUUACUCUGUCAACUACUGCUAAAAAAGCCACCCCAGGAUUUCUCUGGAGUAGUUUCCAACUCCUCGGAGACUUAAAACAGCAGUAAAGUCCUCAUCACAUGUCCAUAGGUGUGCUGCUGGUUCAGUGCCAGAGCUCACAGAGGUGACUCAGAGGAAUGUGCAAUAAAGGCUUUUCUUUUUUUUUGUAACAAUUUCAGUAACUUCCCAGUCUCCUAAGCAGCAGUUUCACUGUUGCCUUAACAACCAAAGAACCCAGAACAAAUGCUUGUGCACUGAAUGCUUACUGUGCUUGUAACUGUCUGGCAUGGCUGGAGUUUCGCUCCCCUCAGCACUACAGGUUGCUCCCCAUUGUUCCUUGACCUGUCAUCCAUUUUAAACAUUCCAGAGGCAAAACAAAGACUUGCUGUCUUCAUUAAAGAGCUGCUUCCUAGCAGUACUUCCCCUUGUUGCAUCAUCAGCCUUGUAAGAUGAUAUGUAAGAAAUGUUUUGAGCCGUUGAGCUCCUGAGCAUUAACUGUUGUUUUGUUGUUUUUACCUGUAUAUGAGCACCAAAAGCAUGUAAAAAUCAUGGACCAUUGCUGAGGAGAAAGGCUAGAAGGAGUUUUGGGAGCACUGAAAUAGGUGUGUUGUGCCUCUGAGAGCUGCAGGUCUUGUCUCACAUUGACAGAGCUUCAUAACUCAACAGGUGAUGUGACAGAGGAUCCCCUCCUUUGCCUUACAGGGAAAUCCCUUUGGUCCAGCACCACAGCCACAGGGCUGGACAGGUAGGACUGACACUGCUUUUGCAUCUUCCCCAGGAGGAAACAACUGGCUUGGAAACAGUGGGGAGGUCAGAUGGUUUUGCAUAUUACUGUACUUGUUAUGAAGUUGAUCCCAGCCCUUUUUUAGGUGGACUUUUUUAAACUAAGGGAGAAAUCCCUCAUUUAGUCUGACCACUGACACAAACUUCUUCCAGCAGCAGAGCUAUAAGAACUUGCCUUUUUAUCUCCAGUUUCCCCACCCAAGGAGUAUUCCAGAAGUUUUCUGUUGUGUUGUGCUUUCAGAGGGAACUGUUUUGGACAUGCCAGGAAGAGCAAGUGACAGAAGAGGUUGCAAGGUGCUGGGAAGGUGCUUUGGGGAGGCAGGUAAUUGAUGGUAGAUGGCAAAACACUAAUAUAAAGUCCCUAAGAUUCAUGGUUUUAUAUUCAAAACAUCUAAUUGAGGAGGUCCUUGAUGCUCAGCCACUGGCACCGGUGCUGGAUCUGCUCCAGGAAGUGCUGCACAGAUGCAGAAAGGUUUUUAAAGUCAUAAAGGCUCAAAGGAACUCGAGCAGCUCGGAUUCCUAUAGCCACAGAACUGAAAUGUCCAUUGGACAUCACAUUACCUAAGCUGAUGGAUUUUCAGCAGAGAUUCAGCUUUUCUUAAAGAAACAAGAUCUGGGAUACCUGGCUUUCACCUGCUGGGUGGGAGAAGGCAAUUUAUGACAAUGAAACAAUGAAGUUAGACAGAGCUUUGCACCCCAAAUCUCAAAAUCAAUCCCAAGGACAUGGUUUUAAUCUUGGAAGAUCCAAGUGGAUGUGGGCAGCACAAGCCACACACCCAAGCUUUGUUGUCUUGAUUCUUAGUCAGCCUUUGGAUAUGUCAACAGAGGGGCUUGGGCCUGCGAGUCCUGGGCUUUUUAUCCUCUCUUCUGUAUAUUUAUAGCACAAACAGCCAGAGCAAUUUGCAAAGGUCUUUUUGACCUGCUAGGAGCCAGGCUGCAGCUUUGGAGCUUUGGGUGAUGUGAGGCACCUGAACUUUCUCCCAAGCUAAGCCACCGACUCAUCCCCCAGCCCCAGCACACACUUCCCAUCACUCCUGAGGAUUGACACCUCAUGUCUUGUCCCUUCCAGUCUGUACCUCUGUUGUACCCUCUGUAAAUUGGCCAGACUUUCCUACCUCGUUUGGGCAUUAUGAGGCAGAAUUCCGUAGGAUGCUUUGCAGCCCCGUGAUGAAAGGUGCUAUAUAACUGCAAAGUGUUACUUCAGAAGAUGUAACUCGGUCACCAGUGCAUCAUAACCUAUAUUAAACAGACAUUUUCUUAUAUGAGAAUUUAUAGAGUUCAAUGUAUGGUAUUAAUAAGUGAAUUAUUGAGACCCUCAAAAUAGUUUUUGUUUCAAUCGUAUCUGUAUUCUGGAAAAGUGAUUAAAAACCUUU